CUCUCAUUCCAUCUUCUAGAGAACGUUGGAUAACUGAUUGGUGGUUUUGUGUGGUUCUAAUCUUGCACGCCAGCCUUUAUGAGAAGUCAUGUCCUUUGAAGAAAAGGGACAAUGACUUUACAGUCAACAAGGUCCUUUGUUUGGUAACCCGUUGGCUGCUACCCUUGAACAUCCCUUUUUACUUCCUUAAACAGGUCCUCUUGAUUUGAGGGUAACUUCUUCGCUACUUAUCAUGGACUUCAUCCAUUGGUGAAAACUGAAAAGAGAAAGCUGUAAUUCAGAUGUCUAAGCCGGAAGCCCCGAAGCCUACUAUGGAUAAUCGCUCUCGUAAUAACUGUUCCUCAACUCUUCGCUCUUUUUCCGGUUUCUCUUAACCAUUUGCCAGGUAGUCAAUUAAGACAGUGAUGUCUCCCCCUGUCUUGAUUGUGUGCGAGUUUCAAAAGCAGUUUAUCACCCAAAUGAGACAAAAGGAGUUGGUUAGGUUUGUUUUAUACGGUUAUAAACUGCUUUAAAAUUUGCACAGAACAACAUUUGUCUUGUACCGGACGCUUUGUUUAUUAAAUUUCAAUCAUUUUUGCCA